GAUGAAGAACGCAGCGAAAUGCGAUACGUAGUGUGAAUUGCAGAAUUCCGCGAAUCAUCGAGUCUUUGAACGCAAGUUGCGCCCGAGGCUUGUCCGAGGGCAUUUCCGCUAGAGCGUCACCGCGCCCCCCACCGAUCCGCUCCCGCCGCGAGGCGCCAGUCGGUUCGAGUGGAAGUGGCCGUCCCGGUCGCGUGGAGCGAGCGAGGGUCGGCUGAAAUGGAUGGAAUCGGGCCGCCGUGGUGACACAGUCCGCGAUCGGGUGAUUUUCCGCGAGCCUCCCCCGGGAGGGUCGCCGCGAAUUUUUCUAAGUGCGUGGCUGCGUCCCCCAGUUGGUUUCGGCUCCCUCGUGCAGGUCGUGCGCGCCCCCGCGGCGCGCGUCACGCAUCAGACCUCUAAUCGGAAAAGACUACCCGCUGAGUUUAAGCAUAUCAAUAAGC
rnacentral:rRNA from 1 species